AUACGGAGGAUGCAAGCGUUAUCCGGAUUUAUUGGGUUUAAAGGGAGCGUAGGUGGGAUAUUAAGUCAGCUGUGAAAGUUUGGGGCUCAACCUUAAAAUUGCAGUUGAUACUGGUUUCCUUGAGUACGGUAUAGGUGGGUGGAAUUCGUGGUGUAGCGGUGAAAUGUUUAGAUAUCACGAAGAACUCCGAUCGCGAAGGCAGCUCACCGGGCCGGAACUGACACUGAUGCUCGAAAGUGCGGGUAUCAAACAGGAUUAGAUACCCUGGUAGUCCGCACAGUAAACGAUGAAUACUCGCUGUUUGCGAUACACUGUAAGCGGCCAAGCGAAAGCGUUAAGUAUUCCACCUGGGGAGUACGCCGGCAACGGUGAAACUCAAAUGAAUUGGCGGGG
rnacentral:rRNA from 1 species